CGCAGCCGCGGUAAUUCCAGCUCCAAUAGCGUAUAUUAAAGUUGUUGCAGUUAAAAAGCUCGUAGUUGAAUUUCGAGAUCAAAUUGUUGGUCGUGCCUUGGUACGUACUGGCAUUAUUGGUUUCUCCCUUCUGAAGAACCAUGAUGUCAUUAAUUUGGUGUCAUGGGGAAUCAGGACUGUUACUUUGAAAAAAUUAGAGUGUUUAAAGCAGGCUCGCGCUUGAAUACAUUAGCAUGGAAUAAUGAAAUAGGACGUUUAAUUCUAUUUUGUUGGUUUCUAGGGUUGACGUAAUGAUUAAUAGGGAUAGUUGGGGGCAUUAGUAUUCAAUUGUCAGAGGUGAAAUUCUUGGAUUUAUUGAAGACUAACUACUGCGAAAGCAUUUGCCAAGGAUGUUUUCAUUAAUCAAGAACGAAAGUUAGGGGAUCGAAGACGAUCAGAUACCGUCGUAGUCUUAACCAUAAACUAUGCCGACUAGGGAUCGGAUGAUGUUAAUUUUUAAUGACUCAUUCGGCGCCUUAAC
rnacentral:rRNA from 1 species